rnacentral:rRNA from 1 species
AACGAACGCUGGCGGCAUGCCUAACACAUGCAAGUCGAACGAGACCUUCGGGUCUAGUGGCGCACGGGUGCGUAACGCGUGGGAAUCUACCCUUGGGUUCGGAAUAACUCAGAGAAAUUUGAGCUAAUACCGGAUGAUGUCGCAAGACCAAAGAUUUAUCGCCCAAGGAUGAGCCCGCGUAGGAUUAGCUUGUUGGUGAGGUAAAAGCUCACCAAGGCGACGAUCCUUAGCUGGUCUGAGAGGAUGAUCAGCCACACUGGGACUGAGACACGGCCCAGACUCCUACGGGAGGCAGCAGUGGGGAAUAUUGGACAGUGGGCGAAAGCCUGAUCCAGCAAUGCCGCGUGAGUGAUGAAGG